GACUUUGCGCAGUGGCGGUACCGUAGCCAAUGAAGUUUAUCUGAGGCGCGGUUAUUGCUAGUUGAAAACUACUCCCAAUGCCCCGCACUGACGACGUGAAAUACCGUCGGCAGAUGCAAUUUUUCCAGGCCGUCCGCGGC
rfam:Clonorchis sinensis DNA, scaffold: 42, strain: Henan.